AUACGGAGGAUGCGAGCGUUAUCCGGAUUUAUUGGGUUUAAAGGGAGCGUAGGUGGGAUAUUAAGUCAGCUGUGAAAGUUUGGGGCUCAACCUUAAAAUUGCAGUUGAUACUGGUUUCCUUGAGUACGGUACAGGUGGGCGGAAUUCGUGGUGUAGCGGUGAAAUGCUUAGAUAUCACGAAGAACUCCGAUCGCGAAGGCAGCUCACCGGGCCGGAACUGACACUGAUGCUCGAAAGUGCGGGUAUCAAACAGGAUUAGAUACCCUGGUAGUCCGCACAGUAAACGAUGAAUACUCGCUGUUUGUGAUACACUGUAAGCGGCCAAGCGAAAGCGUUAAGUAUUCCACCUGGGGAGUACGCCGGCAACGGUGAAACUCAAAUGAAUUGACGGGG
rnacentral:rRNA from 1 species